rnacentral:lncRNA from 1 species
AGGAAGGAAGGAAGGAAGGAAGGAAGGAAGGAAGGAAGGAAGGGUCAGCUUAGGCCCACACAUUGGAGUAGACAGCAGCACAUUUCUCAUCCACAGGCAGCACAUCACUCUAUAAGAAACCCCUUUGAACUUGCCGGGUAAGAAAGUACUUAGCAUGAAUAAGGGUGGCAGGCUGGCAGUGAGCACUGAGCUAUUCUGCAAAGCACCUUAUCAGCACUUAAAUAUGGCUGAUGAAUAUUUAGACUCUCAUUACAGAAAGAGGGUCCCGAAAGAGCAGUCAUUUCCCAGCUAAAGGAUUGUCUCAUUGCACUGAAAUCUAAUACAUCUUGAAUUUUAGGCUGAAAUUCUCCAGCACUGCAUCCAGAUUAAAUAUGAGCAGUCAGAUUUAGUCAAGAUUCUAGGACAGCCACCACAGCAGCAUGGGCAGACAAGAGAUGCAAUGGAAAUUUCAGUUUUCUUGGCUAGAGCGAAGCUGGCUGUUGUCAUUUCAUCUGGAAACUACUGAACAUUGAUCUUUUUUUUCCCGGGCUCUUUUAAACUGUAUCGUUUUGCACUACAGCAGGGCGGAGAAACCUUUGGCCUUCUAGAAAUCAAUGAAUUAUGGCUUCCAGCAUCCCUGAGCCCUACGUAACUUGGGUGAGGUGGACAGGAACUGAAGUCCAACCACAUCUGGAGGAUCACCUUCCACCAUGCUUCCUCUGGAAUUCUGGUAGUCAAGAGAAACAACAUUUCCAAGUUCUGUGCUGCUCUAAAAAGGUGAAAAACAAUCACCCGGAGGACUCGACGGUUGUCAAGUUAUACCGCCCUCGCCAUGGAAAAAGAACCAUCUGCAACUUUUAAAUAAUGUCUGAAUCCUAUUUAGAAUUUCCAGCCCUUUGGAUAUCAAGCCUUGUGUUUGUCUGCCUGAUUGAUUCACUUUUUAAUGAACUGGGAAAGCUUCAACACUCCAACCUGAAAUCCGUAUCUCCCCACCUCCCUCUUCAUAUCCCUCUGCAGUCGCUGGCUGAUUAUAUUUCAAGUUAUUACAGGAUUAAUACAUCUGGCCUAAAACAUUUUUUCCCUGAAUUUCAUCAAUAAAAAGUUGUAUACUAGUCUUGCUCCUGCUAUU